rnacentral:rRNA from 1 species
AACGCUGGCGGCGUGCUUAAUACAUGCAAGUCGAACGAAGCACUUUUGGCAGAUCCCUUCGGGGUGAAGCCGGUUGUGACUUAGUGGCGGACGGGUGAGUAACGCGUGGGUAACCUACCUUAUACUGGGGGAUAACAGUUAGAAAUGGCUGCUAAUACCCCAUAAGCGCACGGCACCGCAUGAUGCAGUGUGAAAAGAUUUAUUGGUAUAAGAUGGACCCGCGUCUGAUUAGUUAGUUGGUGAGGUAACGGCCCACCAAGACGACGAUCAGUAGCCGACUUGAGAGAGUGAUCGGCCACAUUGGGACUGAGACACGGCCCAGACUCCUACGGGAGGCAGCAGUAGGGAAUAUUGCACAAUGGGGGAAACCCUGAUGCAGCCGACGCCGCGUGAGUGAUGAAGUAUUUCGGUAUGUAAAGCUCUAUCAGCAGGGAAGAUAAUGACGGUACCUGACUAAGAAGCCCCGGCUAACUACGUGCCAGCCGCCGC